GAUAGUUUGGCCAAGUGGUUUAAGGCAUGGUCCGAAAGGCCAUGGGUUCAAAUCCCAUGGUUGUCA
rnacentral:tRNA from 1 species